rnacentral:sRNA from 1 species
ACCUCCAAUUUGACCCACACCAUGACUCACCUGGGCAUCAGCAGGGGCAUGGGUCUGGGCCCAGGCUGUGAUGCACCAGGUGAGUGGCUGUCCUGGCCAUGUGCCCACUGGGUGCUGCCUGGCUGGAGGGAUGAAGGGAAGGGAGGUUUGAGCACCUGAGAUCCUGCUGUGAUCACCUACACUGCUUGUUACCUCUGCACCCCAGGAUUCCCUCACGGCAGUUCUCAGCCAGUGAUAACUGGUAGGUGUGGUGUUUCCUAGAAAGAAGAGGAAGGGCAGCCCCCAGAUGGGCAGUGCUAUCAGGGAUAGAGUAGGGAGGAUGUUGUGUUGCCGCUUUCAUAGUCUGGUCACUGCCACCCAUUCUGGGUGGAAAGGGGCUCAGUUCCCAUCAGUAACCGUUGGCAUCUCUGGUUUUUUGUCUGUGCCUGCAGGACUUCAUUCACCUCUCAGCCACCCAUCCCUGCAGUCCUCCCUAAGCAAUCCCAACCUCCAGGCUUCCCUGAGCAGUCCUCAGCCCCAGCUUCAGGGCUCCCACAGCCACCCCUCUCUGCCUGCCUCCUCCUUGGCCCGCCAUGCACUGCCCACCACCUCCCUGGGCCACCCCUCACUCAGUGCUCCGGCUCUCUCCUCCUCCUCUUCCUCCUCCUCCACUUCAUCUCCUGUUUUGGGUGCCCCCCCUUACCCUGCUUCUACCCCUGGGGCCUCCCCCCACCACCGCCGUGUGCCCCUCAGCCCCCUGAGUUUGCUCGCGGGCCCAGCCGACGCCAGAAGGUCCCAACAGCAGCUGCCCAAACAGUUUUCGCCAACAAUGUCACCCACCUUGUCUUCCAUCACUCAGGGCGUCCCCCUGGAUACCAGUAAACUGUCCAUUGACCAGCGGUUGCCCCCAUACCCAUACAGCUCCCCAAGUCUGGUUCUGCCUACCCAGCCACACACCCCAAAGUCUCUACAGCAGCCAGGGCUGCCCUCUCAGUCUUGUUCAGUGCAGUCCUCAGUUGGGCAGCCCCCAGGCAGGCAGUCUCAUUAUGGGACACUGUACCCAUCUGGGCCC